CGACCUCAAAUCAGGUAGGGCUACCCGCUGAACUUAAGCAUAUCAAUAAGCGGAGGAAAAGAAACUAACAAGGAUUCCCCUAGUAACGGCGAGUGAACCGGGAAGAGCUCAAAUUUGUAAUCUGGCGUCCUCCGGGCGUCCGAGUUGUAAUCUAUAGAGGCAUUUUCCGCGCCGGACCGCGUCCAAGUCCCUUGGAACAGGGUAUCAAAGAGGGUGACAAUCCCGUGCUUGAUGCGACGACCGGUGCUAUGUGAUAUGUUCUCAACGAGUCGAGUUGUUUGGGAAUGCAGCUCUAAACGGGUGGUAAAUUCCAUCUAAGGCUAAAUAUUGGCGAGAGACCGAUAGCGAACAAGUACCGUGAGGGAAAGAUGAAAAGCACUCUGGAAGGAGAGUUAAACAGUACGUGAAAUUGUUAAAAGGGAAACGAUUGAAGUCAGUCGUGCGUGCAGUAUUCAGCCGUCUCUGGCGGUGUAUUUGCUGUACGCGGGUCAACAUCAGUUUGAAUCGGUGGAAAAGGUCAGGAGGAAGGUGGCACCCUCGGGUGUGUUAUAGCCUCCUGUCGUAUACACUGGUCCAGACUGAGGAACGCAGCUCGCCCUUACGGGCCGGGAUUUAUCCACGUCCGA
rnacentral:rRNA from 1 species